ACUUCACUGGCCUCCUCCAGACGUGGUGGUUGCGCCCUUUCGGCCUCGCUUUCCGUUUUUUGGCUUCAUCCCCUAGAUCUGCAAACAGUUCCUCGUGUUUCUUCCGUUAGCCGGGAAACGCGAACUGCAGCGUUUGGGACCCGGGUUUGCGCGUGUGGAAAGCAAAAGGGGUUACUCUGCUGGAGUUCGACAUUGCAAAUAAAGGUCUUUAUCCCCGGCGGUUCUACAAAAUUAGUUCUGCAGGGAUUCUGGUUGAAAGAAGCGUUAAAGUGGGCCUUGUAGGAGUCAGCAAUAAUCCAAUUUUACAUGGGUGCAGGUGGCUGCCUGUGUCUAGCGCUUUCACACAUCUCAUAUCUUCAUCCACGCCGUGGGUAUUUUUUUUCCACGGUGUGUUUCUGUUGCUGCCUCCAGUAUAUUGCUUAAUCAUCCUACCUGGUAAUUAUUUAUGCAUUUUUCUCCUACUCUCGACUCAGCUCCUAGGGAAUAAAAACACAUUAACUUAUCUUUGUGCCCACAGCACCCACCAAGUAUUUCCAUCACGUAAUACUGCCUCUAGAAAGGCAGGAGGAGAAGCAGUCACGCUAAGGAUCUAGGCAAGCCAGAUCUUUUGUCCGGUUUUAGGAGGUGGCCAGCCCUUACUUAUUCCACAAGUGUUUUUCCAGAAACUCAGACUUGAUAUUGCCUCAAGUCCAAGGCAGUGUGCUUCCCCCACUCACAUAUCACUAAUAGUAGCUAACAUUUGUUCAGAUCCCUGUAUGUACUCUGCCACUGUUUUAAAUGUUACACCCGGGUUACCUCAUUUAAUCCUUACAACUGCCCUGUGAGGUAGGUACUAUUAUUAUCUCUACUUUGUAGAUGGGAUUCACCGAGGCACAGACGGUUAAAAAACCUAGCCCAAAUAACACAAAUAAACAGCAGAGCAUGCAGUGCUAGAGUCUGCAUUCUUAACAAUUGCUAUAUUCUCCCUCUCCGUGAAUGUGGGCUGAGAUGCUGAAACAGGCAUGUGCUGUGGGGGAGAAAAAGCUUUGUCCAACCAAGUGCUUUCUAAUGUCCAGAUGACAUAGAGCUAGGAUUUCCUAAUGUCUUUUUUCCCCUAUUUUUCUCUCCAUUUCAGGGUUGAGUUUGUGCAUCGAUUGUGAACACAACAGGCAGCAGGCUAUAAUGGUGGUCCUGGCUGGAGUAGUUUUCACAGACUUCAGUAAUCUGUGGAGAUGAACGGGCAGUUCUCUGUAGUUUUCACAGAUCACUGCCAGUUCGUUUUGAGGCCUUCAGGAGUGAAGACCUGGCUCAUCAUCACUCUUUGUUGUUUUGUUAAAUUUAUUUACACCCUACUUUAUUCCAGAGGAAAGGAUUUAACGUAGUUUACAUAAAUGUGUACAUCAGGGUAAAUUAAAAAUAAGUACAGAGAAAAAUAGGACAAAAGAAAACCGUGAGUGUGAAAGAUAAGAUUAAGCCAGCAGUUUUGUAUGCAAAAUGCAUGGUGUAAGGUCCUAUUGGUUUGCUGGAGGUAGGCCACACAUAUGACUCUCAGUUUUCUAGCAACCAAGAAAAAGAUCAGUUGCAAUCGGAGUAGGUGUUUUGGCUAAGCUGGAACUAGGACUUGAAUAUAGCAGCUUGUAGAGUUAUACCACUUGCCCAAAUCUCUUCCAUGAGCCUCUUUAAGUGUAACAGAAUGCCUGGGAGCACGUAAAUGCUCCUACUUAGAUGCCUACUUAGCCUCUAAUUUUCAUGGGGCCCAUGAAUCCCAUGAAAAAGAACUUUGAACCCUGUCCACAAUUAGAGUUCAGGUAUACGCAGACAUGUUUAAAGACAAGGGACACCCAAAGGAAAGAUUGCACAGAGAGAAAGUGAGCAUCCGAGAGAAAAUCACCACAAGUGAGGCAGAGGGAGGCCGGUCUCAGCAGAGUUUUGGAGGUCGUGAGAAGAAGAGGUAGGAGAUAGGAGAGUGGUUCCGAGUACUUGCCUGCUGAUGUUACCUUCUCCACCCCCACCAGGUUUUCCAGUGCCUGGAGUCUUGGGCAGGAAUGGGCCACUGUAAGAAAGAGCUUUAUCACUAGGGCCUCAGCCAACUUUUCUGUGGGAUAUCCCUCCAAAAUAAUUAAGAGUUCAGAAUGCUUCAGAUUUUGAAGUGAAACUGGUACAUAUAUUAAGUGUUACUUAAUAACCCGAUAGUUUCUAGGGCAGCUCACCAUAAUCCCAAGUAUUAGCCACCACCCUCACCCCCUUCAGAGUAAAAUGUGUUUCCUGAAGGAAGUUGGGAAAAUGAAGAAAAAAAAUACAAAAAUCACCUAUAAUCUUACCAGUCAUAGAUGGCAGUUUUCCUGUCUUAUUUCUGAAUAAUGGUUGUUAAACAUUUGCCAGCACACCAUAAGGCUUAGGGAGGCAUCUGGGUCAUGCAUGUUAAUAUCCUUGGGUAAUUCCAGAAAUCUCUAUGAAGGGAAACUCCUGUUAUUUAUCUAGACUUCCUGAUUGCAAGGGGUUUGGGCAUCAUGAUUUAGGGGUCUUAAUAAAAUUAUUAUUUUAUUUUUACUAAUAGAUAAUGUCUGUGCCUAUCAGAUAAAGGCAAACCAGUGCUCAGAGGAACCCAACCAUCUCUGAAUUGAGACCAGAGAGCUGUCUCUAUGGAUAGUCCUUAGAGAAGGCAUUUCGGAACACAGUAAACAGCAGCCUGGUGACUCCGAUUACAGGGCCAGUUGCCUUUGUUACAAUAAAAGCAAGUCAUCUACACAGGCUGGAGUGUAGUGCCAUGAUCUCGGCCCGCUGCGAUCCCCACCUCCUGGGUUCAAGUGAUUCUCCUGCCUCAGCCUCCUGAGUAGCUGGGAUUACAGGCAUCCGCCACCACGCCCGGCUAAUUUUUGUGUUUUUAGUAGAGACAAGGUUUUGCCAUGUUGGCCAGGCUGGUCUCGAACUCCUGAUUUAAGAUGAUCCACUUGCCUUGGCCUCCCAAAGUGUUGGGAUUACAGGCGUGAACCACCACACCUGGCUUGAUCUUCUUCUUUUAUGGCUGCAUAAUAUUCCAUGGGGUAUAUGUACCACAUUUUCUUUAUCCAGUCUGUCAUUGAUGGGCAUUUAGGUUGAUUCCAUGUCUUUGCUAUUGUGAACAGUGCUGCAAUAAACAUUCACAUGCAAGUGUCUUUAUGGUAGAAUGCUUUAUAUUCCUCUGGGUAUACACUCAGUAAUGGGAUUGCUGGAGUCUGCUUUUAACUCUUUGAGGAAUCACCAUACUGCUUUCCACAAUGGUUGAAUAAAUUUACACUCCCACCAACAGUGUGUAAGGGUUCCCUUUUCUGCGCAACCGUACCAGCAUCUGUUAUUUUUUGACUUUUUGGUAAUAGCCGUUCUGACGGGUAUGAGGUGGUAUCUCAUUGUGGUUUUGAUUUGCAUUUCCCCAAUGAUCAGUGAUAUUGAGCUUUUUCUCUUAUGCUUCUUGGCCACAUGUAUGUCUUCUUUUGAGAAGUGUCUAGAUGUUCAUGUCCUUUGCACACUUUUUAAUGGGGUUGUUUUUCUCUUAUAAAUUUAAGAUCCUUAUAGAUGCUGGAUAUUAGACCUUUAUCAGAUGCAUAGUUUGCAAAUAUUUUCUCCCAUUCUGCAGGUUGUCUGUUUACUCUGUUGAUAGUUUCUUUUGCUGUGCAGAAGCUCUUAAGUUUAAUUAGCUCUCAUUUGUCGACUUUUGCUUUUGUCGCGAUUGCUUUUGGUGUCUUUGUCAUGAAAUAUUCGCCCAUUCCUAUGUCCAGGAUAAUAUUGCCUAGAUUCUCUUCCAGGGUUUUUAUAGUUUGGGGUUUUGCAUAUAAGUCUUGAAUCUAUCUUGAGUUGAUUUUUGCAUAUGAUGUAAGGAAGAGGUCCAGCUUCAGUCUUCUGCAUAUGGCUAGCCAGUUAUCCCAGCACCAUUUAUUGAGUAGGAGGUCUUUUCCCCAUUGCUUGUUUUUUUGUCAGCUUUGUCAAAGAUCAGAUGGUUGUAGAUGCGUGGCCUUAUUUCUGGGCUCUCUAUUAUUUUAUUUAUUUAUUUAUUUAUUUUUAUUUAUUUUUAUUUUUUUGAGACAGAGUCUCCCUCUGUCACCCAGGCCGGAGUGCAGUGGUGCGAUCUCUGCUCACUGCAACCUCCGCCUCCUGGGUUCAAGCGAUUCUCCUGCCUCAGCCUCCUGAGUAGCUGAGAUUACAGGCACGUGCCACCACGCCAGGCUAAUGUUUCUUUGUAUUUUUAGUAGAGAUGGGGUUUCACCAUGUUGGUCAGGCUGAAACUCGAAACUCAGUCUCAAACUCCUGACCUCAUGAUCCAUCCGCCUUGGCCUCCCAAAGCACUGGAUUACAGGCAUGAGCCACUGCACCUGGCCUCUAUUCUGUUCCAUUGGUCUAUGUGCCUGUUUUUGUACCAGUACCAUGCUCUUUUGGUCACUGUAGCCUUGUAGUAUAGUUUGAAACCAAAUCCAGCAGCACAUCAAAAAGCUAAUCCACCAUGAUCAAGUAGGCUUCAUCUCCAGGAAACAAGUUUGGUUCAACAUAUAAAAAUCAAUAAAUGUGAUUCAUCACAUAAACAAAACUAAAGACAAAACCACAUGAUUCUUUCAAUAGAUGUAGAAAAGGCUUUUGAUAAAAUUUAACCUCAGUUCAUGUUAAAAACUCUUGAUAAACUAGGUAUUGAAGGAACAUCAUACCUCAAAAUAAUAAGAGCCAUCUAUGACAAACCCACAGCCAACAUUAUACUGAAUAGACAAAAGCUGGAAGCAUUCCCCCUGAAAGCCGGCACAAGACAAAGAUGGCCUCUCUCACCACUUCUAUUCAACAUAGUAUUGGAAGUCCUAGCCAGAGCAAUCAGGCGAGAGAAAGAAAUAAAGGGUAUCCAAAUAGGAAGAGAGGAAGUCAAACUAUCUCUGAACACAACAUGAUUCUAUAUCUACAAAGCCCCAUAGUCUCAGCCCAAAAGCUCCUUCAGCUGAUAAACAACUUCAGCAAAGUUGCAGGAUACAAAAUCAACGUACAAAAAUUACUAGCAUUCCUAUACACCAACGGCAAUCAAACUGAAAGCCAAAUCAGAAAGGUAAUCCCGUUCACAAUUGCCACACAAAAAAUAAAAUACCUAAGAAUGCAGCUAACCAGGGAGGUGAAAGAUCUCUACAAUGAGAAUUACAAAACACUGCUCAAAGAAAUCAGAGAAGACACAAACAAGUGGAAAAACAUCCCAUGCUCAUGGAUAGGAAGAACCAAUAUCAUUGAAAUGGCUAUACUGCCCAAAGCAAUGUACAGAUUCAAUGCUAUUUCUAUCAAACUACCAACAAUAUUCUUCACAGGACUAGAAAAAAUUAUUUUAAAAUUUAUAUGGAACCUAUAAAGAAUAGCUAAAGCAAUCCUAAGCAAAAAACAAAGCUGGAGAAAUUUUGUCCACAUUUCUAUGCCAGACCUGUAUGACCAGUGCUAAGAGGUGUGGUUCAGAUCCUAAGCUUUUUAGAAUCCCAAAGAGGGGGAGGCAAUGAGGUCAGGCAAAGUCUUAAUAGCAGUGAUGCCACUAAAGGAUUUGAACUGGGUUGUGAAAUAUUAUGGGAUUUGGAUUGGUGGCUUUCUUGAUACAUAACACUUGUAUAUUUAUGGGGUAUGUGUGAUAUUUUGAUGCGUGAAUACAAUGUGUGAUGAUCGAGCCAGGGUGUUUAGAAUAUAUAUCACCUGAAACCUUUCAUUUCUUUGUGUUGGGAACAUUUCAAAUCUUCUCCUCUAGCUAUUUUGAAGUGUAUAGUAUAUUGUUGUUAACUAUAGUCAUUUACUAUGCUAUUGAACACUACAAUUUAUUCCUUCUAACUGUGCAUUUGUACCCAUUAACCAACUUCUCUUCAACACCAUCCCCCCAACCCUUUCUAGCCUCUAGCUACCAUAAUUCUACUCUCUGCCUCCCUGAGAUCAACUUUUUUAGCUCCCACGUAUGAGUGAGAACAUUCAAUAUUUGUCUUUUCUGUCUUCUGACUUAGUUCACUUAACAUAAUGACCUAUAGUUUCAUCCAUGUUUCUGCAAAUGACCAUAUUUCAUUCUUUUUUAUGGCUGAAUAGUAUUCCUUUGCAGAAUAUAUACCACAUUUUCUUUUUCCAUUCAUCCAUUGAUGGACUAGAUAAGUGAUUUUUGAUUGAAGUAGCUGCAUGUUUGUUGUCAGAAUCACCUAGGGAACUUUUUCAAAAUAUCAGUGUUUAAUUUCUCCUCCUUCCCCAAGAACAUCAUAACUAUUUCUCAGCAUUGGGAGUGGAGGAGGAUAUAUUUUGUAACAAUAUUCAAGGGAAUUCUGAUAGGGACCCAUUCAUCCCUUAGGCCUUUUCACUGAUAAAGAUUUCAAAAAAUAAAAGAUGUGAAAGAGACUGAUUCAGCUAGAAGAGAUAGGGGAGGGCUCUUCAUGUGAAGGGAUUGUGAAAGAGAGGAGACUGGGGUCCCUGGAGCAGAGGGUGCAUCAGAGGAAGUGGUAGGAAAUAGGGUGGGGUAUUAAGAUGGGGAAGUCAAGAAGAAAUUGGAAUGCUAGGUCAGAGAGUUUAAUCCAGAUGUUGUUUGAAAUAAGAAAUUAUUCAUGCAUUCAUUUGUUCAAUAAAUAUUUAUGAGCACCUACUCUGUGCCAGGCACUGUGUCAUGUGCUGGGGAGAAAGUGGAGAAUGAAAUAAAGCUCUUUCCCUCAUAAAACUUAUAUUCUGAUAGGAGGGGAGAAGUGACCAAUCCAUUCCAGUUUGCCUGGGACAUUCCUGCUUUUAGCACUCAAAUUCUGCCCAGGAACCCCCUGGGUAAACCAGAAUCAUUGGUUCUCUAGGAGAGUCUCUAGGAGAGAGUGUGUGUGUGUGUGUGUGUGUGUGUGUGUGUGUGUGUGUGUGUGUAGUGCUGAAGGCUAGGAAGAAAAAUGAAGCAGGGUAAGAGGUUGGGAUGGAGAAGAAUGCUGCUUUAAACAGGGUUGUCAUGGAAGAUCUCUCUGAGGAAGUGACACAUGAGCAGCAAUCUGGCUGGGCACAGUGGCUCACACCUGUAAUCCCAGCACUUUGGGAGGCAAGGCAGGUGGAUCACUUGAGGUCAGGAGUUCAAGACCAGCCUGGCCAACAUGGUGAAACCCUGUCUCUACUAAAAAUACAAAAAUUGGUGGGGUAAGGUGGUGGGCACCUUUAGUCCCAGCUACUCGGUAGGCGGAGGCAGGAGAAUCGCUGGAACCUGGGAAGUGGAGGUUGCAGUGAGCCAGAUCAAGCCAUGGCACUCCAGCCUGGGCAACAGA
rnacentral:lncRNA from 1 species